AAACGAUGAAUGCCAGCCGUUGGGGUGCAUGCACUUCAGUGGCGCAGCUAACGCUUUAAGCAUUCCGCCUGGGGAGGACGGUCGCAAGAUUAAAACUCAAAGGAAUUGACGGGGGCCCGCACAAGCGGUGGAGCAUGUGGUUUAAUUGGAAGCAACGCGCAGAACCUUACCAGCUUUUGACAUGUCCGGUUUGAUCGGCAGAGAUGCCUUUCUUCAGUUCGGCUGGCCGGAACACAGGUGCUGCAUGGCUGUCGUCAGCUCGUGUCGAGAGAUGUUGGGUUAAGUCCCGCAACGAGCGCAACCCUCGCCCCUAGUUGCCAUCAUUCAGUUGGGAACUCUAGGGGGACUGCCGGUGAUAAGCCGCGAGGAAGGUGGGGAUGACGUCAAGUCCUCAUGGCCCUUACAGGCUGGGCUACACACGUGCUACAAUGGCGGUGACAAUGGGCAGCGAAAGGGCGACCUCGAGCUAAUCCCAAAAAGCCGUCUCAGUUCAGAUUGUACUCUGCAACUCGAGUACAUGAAGGUGGAAUCGCUAGUAAUCGUGGAUCAGCAUGCCACGGUGAAUACGUUCCCGGGCCUUGUACACACC
rnacentral:rRNA from 1 species